GACGAACGCUGGCGGCGUGCUUAACGCAUGCGAGUCGAACGGAAAGGCCCUGCUUUUGUGGGGUGCUCGAGUGGCGAACGGGUGAGUAACACGUGAGUAACCUGCCCUUGACUUUGGGAUAACUUCAGGAAACUGGGGCUAAUACCGGAUAGGAGCUCCUGCUGCAUGGUGGGGGUUGGAAAGUUUCGGCGGUUGGGGAUGGACUCGCGGCUUAUCAGCUUGUUGGUGGGGUAGUGGCUUACCAAGGCUUUGACGGGUAGCCGGCCUGAGAGGGUGACCGGCCACAUUGGGACUGAGAUACGGCCCAGACUCCUACGGGAGGCAGCAGUGGGGAAUAUUGCACAAUGGGCGGAAGCCUGAUGCAGCAACGCCGCGUGCGGGAUGACGGCCUUCGGGUUGUAAACCGCUUUCGCCUGUGACGAAGCGUGAGUGACGGUAAUGGGUAAAGAAGCACCGGCUAACUACGUG
rnacentral:rRNA from 1 species